AACGUGGGUAACCUGCCUUAUAGUGGGGGAUAGCCUUUCGAAAGGAAGAUUAAUACCGCAUAAGAUUGUAGUAUCGCAUGAUAUAGCAAUUAAAGGAGCAAUCCGCUAUAAGAUGGACCCGCGUCGCAUUAGCUAGUUGGUGAGGUAAUGGCUCACCAAGGCGACGAUGCGUAGCCGACCUGAGAGGGUGAUCGGCCACAUUGGGACUGAGACACGGUCCAGACUCCUACGGGAGGCCAGCAUG
rnacentral:rRNA from 1 species